rnacentral:rRNA from 1 species
CCAAAGGGUUNAUUGCGUUAGUACGGCGAGUGAAGCGGCAAAAGCUCAAAUUUGAAAUCUGGCACCUUCGGUGUCCGAGUUGUAAUUUGAAGAAGGUAACUUUGGAGUUGGCUCUUGUCUAUGUUCCUUGGAACAGGACGUCACAGAGGGUGAGAAUCCCGUGCGAUGAGAUGCCCAAUUCUAUGUAAAGUGCUUUCGAAGAGUCGAGUUGUUUGGGAAUGCAGCUCUAAGUGGGUGGUAAAUUCCAUCUAAAGCUAAAUAUUGGCGAGAGACCGAUAGCGAACAAGUACAGUGAUGGAAAGAUGAAAAGAACUUUGAAAAGAGAGUGAAAAAGUACGUGAAAUUGUUGAAAGGGAAGGGCUUGAGAUCAGACUUGGUAUUUUGCGAUCCUUUCCUUCUUGGUUGGGUUCCUCGCAGCUUACUGGGCCAGCAUCGGUUUGGAUGGUAGGAUAAUGACUAAGGAAUGUGGCUCUACUUCGGUGGAGUGUUAUAGCCUUGGUUGAUACUGCCUGUCUAGACCGAGGACUGCGUCUUUUGACUAGGAUGUUGGCAUAAUGAUCUUAAGCCACCCGUCUUGAGAAACCGGACCAAAAAA